CUGACCAGCUGAGGGUUUUAAAUAGAAAUGAUCCAAACACAGUUCACAUUUUCUACAAUGAGUGACUGAAGUCUAGGUUGGUUCUGUGUGAUUUGUUUGUAAAGGAGCUUAAAACUAAGAUGUUCUUUCAGGAAGGCUUCUGGUUUUGGAGUGACGGUUCCAAGUUUGUGUUUAAUCACUGGGGCCCCGGUGAGCCAAACAACGCCAGGGGAAACGAAGACUGCAUGGACAUCAACAUAUUUGGACGAGAUUAUGUGAAUGAUAAUGUCUGUAGCCUGAAGCUCCCCUUCAUCUGUGCCAGACCUCUGUAACCUUCUUAUGCCUAAAAACCUGAAUUGCAACAUGGGUUUCCUGCUGGUGAUGUCACUUCCACCUGGAUGCUAAGCGACUAUGACAUCACUGCUGGAAGAACCUGAUUUCACUUCAUUUGAUCACUUAAAUAAAUGUUUUCUUUCUCUGAAA